UCCCUUGUAGCUCAGUUGGUUAAGAAUCUGCCUACAAUGCAGGAGACCCAGGUUUAAUCCCUGGAGAAGGAA
rnacentral:tRNA from 1 species